CUCCUCUCCCUUAGUAGGUUUGAAGAAGCCAGGUGGAGCAGGCAGCAGUCCCCAGAUGUGCAGCCUGCAGUGCCUCAAGGCAGUACACCAGCAACCCCAGGUCAGCCUGAUUGGUGCAACUCCGGGAGAUAGCCCAGUCAGAAAGGGGCCUAGGGGAUUCUCAACCACCUGGAUUCUCUUAUUUGACUGACACGGUCCUAGAUCAUGAGAAUACCUGGAGCGCUUGGCACGCACACCUCUCUCUCUGAGUCCCCGAACAGUGGCCUACACGUAGAGUGGGGGACAUAGUGGGCUCCUGUAUGUUUUAUAAAAAUGUCCUUGUCCUUCUUGCACCUGACCCUUCCAGAUGAAAAGUGUAAGUAGGAGGUGAUUGGAAAAAAGUUGAAGUUCUAACUACUAGAAUAGAACACAUCGAUUUUGUGACACUGGAGGGAGAAUAACAACCUUGGCACUUGGGGAGGGGACACCUCAGACCCUGGGAGAAAUGGGGGAAAGAAAGACACUUAUAGUCUUUGUCUUUCCAAACCACUUGGAACCUUCUUCACUGAGGACAACAUCUUGGUCCAACUCGCCCAAACUAUUUCAAGUGACUUAAAUUUAACUGACUGCUGAGUCUGCCAUGCUCCACUAGACAGUUCUGACCUGGAUUCGACUGCCAUUCUGCUUAACCUCACCAAGAGAUUGGAAGCAGCCGCGGGUAGCCUCAGCUCCUGUACCUCCUACAUAAAAUACCUGUCAACAACAUCACCUCCAGAUACAGAUCCCAGGCCCAAUCCUGAAGCUAUCACCACUCAGUCAUGCCAUGGAGUAGAUGAAUGGCAUCUGGCUGGUGGCAUGGGCAAACAGGACUAACUGCCCUUAGCCAAGCCCUCCAAAAACAAGGACUAGACUUAAUUAUUUGGAUUGGGCUGGAAGCCCUAAGGCCUAUGGACUUGAAGGGAGGCACUGUCAACCUGGGCCCCCUCUAGCUGAUGUAAGUCCCACUUGGGGGCGCCAUGUUUUUUCCCAGAAGCACCACUAGUACCCUUGAGACUGCAUGAUUGACGUGGAAGUCACACAUUAACUUGUCUCUCUCCAGAAAACAGAGUGACUUGAAAUUUAUCCUUGAUUUUAGCCUACUUGCAAACUAACAAAUGAGCCUGCCACAGGUUCAUGCAUGCUGGCAGAAGAUAGGAGACUCCUGAGUCAGAGAAAAAGGACCUUCUUACUCAUGGCUGGAAGCAUUAAUCCAGGUACAGCAGAUAUAUUGAUUGCACAGACUCUAGUCUGCAAGGAGAAGUACAGGAGAAAUCCAUCACCCAUAGCAACCUUGGUCAGUGAAUUGAGGCUCUCCUGAAUGCCUUCUGGGCCAAGGUGGAAAGGUUGAUGCAGAGAACUAAGGAGCGAGCCACCUGGCUUUCUAAGGUAGGUAUGAUGCUCUAUGGAUUUGUUCAUCUGGGAGGCAUAGUUGAGGUCAGUACUGCAAGUUGGCUUCAUCCUGCUGCUUGUAGUUCUGUUGGUAGUAGCUUUAAUUAAAUGCUGUAUGACACAAAUUGAACAGAUUUGGUCCUAGCCUCUGUCGAUCAGAUUUGCCAACAGAGUGGUGAACUCAUGGGAAAAUUCGCCCAAAGCCAAGAUAGUGUAGAAAUGAGGGGUGGAUAUUACUGUAAGACAAUUCUCCAGGGAUCUCUUGAGUUUCUGCGCAUUUUGCAAGCGAGGCAACUGACUGCCUUUGUCCUGGACUCUCUUCUCAAGGAUAUUGGUACAGUGAAUAGCCAUGGAAGAUCGAGACAGAAUCUCCCUCCAGUGCAAAGGGCAGUCAUUAGAAAAGACUUGCGUUCUUAAGUUUAGCAUCCUCUCCCAUACCACAGUCCACUGUGUGCAGGAGUCUAUCUAGGUCAUUGGUGCCACCCCCACGGGACCUGGGGACAAGAGGACUGAUGUUAAUAUGCUGAUGAUCAUGCUAUUUACUGCGCCAUGAAUAAUGGUCCUUUGUCUCUGACCCAGGAAUCUCCUGUCUUCUGCCAGCAGGCACGAACCUGUGGCAGGCUCACUUGUGUUUGCAAGUAAGGUAAAACCUCAGACCCGGGACUUCCCUGGUGGCGCAGUGGUUAAGAAUCCACCUGCCAAUGCAGGGGAUACAGGUUCGAGCCCUGGUCCAGGAAGAUCCCACAUGCCACGGAGCAACUAAGCCCCUGCGCCACAACUACUGAGCCCGUAUGCCUCAACUACUGAACCCUAUGUGCCUAGAGCCUGUGCUCCGCAACAAAGAGAAGCCACUGCAAUGAGAAGUCAGCGCACUGCAACGAAGGGUAGUCCCCGCUUGCCGCAACUGAGAAAGCCCGUGCACAGCAACGAAGAUCCAACGCAGCCAAAAUAAAUUAAUU